GGUUCUAUGUUUACAAUAAGGGCUGUUUUAUUGUUAACUUAGUUUUAAUAUACUGUCUACCAAUUAGAAAUAACUAUAUAUGAUUUUUAAAGUGAUUAUUACAGAAAGUUAACAAUUUCAAUUAUAUGGCAAUUCCUACAUGAAUGACAGAGCAAAACUAAAACCAUAUAAAGUAUAUACUGUAGAGGUCUACAGUACAUGUCCAAUGGAUCUCUAGAUCAACACAUACAAGCACUGUCAUGGAAGAAAAGGCUAGAGAUCUACAUUGGAGCAGCGCGUGGACUACACUACCUUCACGCCGGAGCAAAGGUCACCAUUUUUCACUGUAACAUCAAAUCUAAAAACUUUGUUUUGGAUCACAACAUGCACCCAAAACUCACGGAUUUCGGCCUUAGCAUACAGGGUGCACGUUUUACGUCAAAGCCUAAGCCAAUUAAAGUAUAUACUGUAGGGACAAUACCGUUACAGAUAAAUAUGAUGUUUUCUCAUUUGGUGUUGUUCUACUAGAAGUUGUGUGGGGAAGAAUAGUUUACGACAUGGCAAUAAGAGGAAAUCUUUGGGAGAAUCCUCUUGAGAUGGAUAUUGAUCCGAAUAUCAAAGGAAAGAUUGCCCCAGAGUGUUUGCAAGUCUUUAUAGAUAUCACCCUAAGAUGUGUGAAGCAUGAUGCGGAUGAGAGACCAACAAUGGGUGAAGUAGAGGUGGAACUUGAGCAUGUUCUGUCCUUGCAGGAACAAACAGAUAUCACAAACACUGAUGCUCAUUAUAACUUAUUGUCCAAAACCAUUAUUAAGCGAUACAAGCAACGGGAAGAUAUCAUACAAACCGAUACUUAUGGUAGCUUGGUAAGUCAGCCAUUCAUAAAAGACGAUUCAUAGGUAAUUUGGUGAGCUCAAACCAUGGGUUUUACCUUUUUGAGUCGAUGCAUAUUUUUCCAGCAGUUAAGUUUAAAUGAUAUAUCUCUAGCUUUUUUACCAGUUCUCUCUUCUAGCAUUUUAAUUGUAUCUGAAGCUGUCUUUGUAAUUUUCUUGAAUUAGUAUAAAUUUGAAAGCAGUAAAGGAAUUCUUGUUUUGA